CCUGACUGCUAUCGGAUUGGUACUAAGCCAUGUGAGUCGUUGUAGCAAUACAAGGCAUACGGCUCAGUAACACGUAGUCAAUCUAACCUAUGGACGGGGAUAACCUCGGGAAACUGAGGAUAAACCCCGAUAGAUCAUUAUACCUGGAACGGUUUAUGGUCCAAAUGAUUCGUCGCCGUAGGGUGGGACUGCGGCCUAUCAGCUUGUUGGUGAGGUAAUGGCCCACCAAGGCUAUUACAGGUACGGGCUCUGAGAGGAGAAGCCCGGAGAUGGGUACUGAGACACGGACCCAGGCCCUAUGGGGCGCAGCAGGCGAGAAACCUUUGCAAUGUGCGCAAGCACGACAAGGUUAAUCCGAGUGUUUCCUGCUAAAGGAAUCUUUUGUUAGUUGUAAAACCACUGAUGAAUAAGGGGUGGGCAAGUUCUGGUGUCAGCCGCCGCGGUAAAACCAGCACCUCAAGUGGUCAGGAUGAUUAUUGGGCCUAAAGCAUCCGUAGCCUGUUCUGUAAGUUUCCGGUUAAAUCCAUUAGCUCAACUAAUGGGCUGCCGAAAAUACUGCAGAACUAGGGAGUGGGAGAGGUAGACGGUACUCGGUAGGAAGGGGUAAAAUCCUUUGAUCUAUUGAUGACCACCUGUGGCGAAGGCGGUCUACCAGAACACGUUCGACGGUGAGGGAUGAAAGCUGGGGGAGCAAACCGGAUUAGAUACCCGGGUAGUCCCAGCUGUAAACGAUGCAGACUCGGUGAUGCCCUGGCUUGUGGCCAGUGCAGUGCCGCAGGGAAGCCGUUAAGUUUGCCGCCUGGGAAGUACGUACGCAAGUAUGAAACUUAAAGGAAUUGGCGGGGGAGCACCACAAGGGGUGAAGCCUGCGGUUC
rnacentral:rRNA from 1 species